GACGAACGCUGGCGGCGUGCCUAACACAUGCAAGUGGAGCGACGAACCAGGCUUCGGCCUGGGGCAAAGCCGCGAACGGGUGAGUAACACGUGGGUAACCUGCCCCGAUGAUUGGGACAACCCGAGGAAACUCGGGCUAAUACCGAAUGUGCCCUACAGCCUCAAGGCUGGUGGGGAAAGGAAGCUUCGGCCUCCGCAUCGGGAUGGGCCCGCGGCCCAUUAGCUUGUUGGUGAGGUAACGGCUCACCAAGGCUACGAUGGGUAGCUGGUCUGAGAGGACGAUCAGCCACACUGGGACUGAGACACGGCCCAGACUCCUACGGGAGGCAGCAGUGGGGAAUCUUGCGCAAUGCGCGAAAGCGUGACGCAGCAACGCCGCGUGGGGAAGACGGCCU
rnacentral:rRNA from 1 species